AUGGCGCGGGCACCCGUCCUCCUCCUGCUCGCCCUCCUCGCCGCGGCCCUCGCCGCGGCCACCCCGGCGGCGGCGCUGGGCGGCCGCGGCGCGCGGGUCGGCGGGUGGGGCCCCAUCCCGGACGUGAGGGACGCGCACAUCCAGGAGCUGGGCGGGUGGGCGGUGGAGCAGCACGCGAGGCUGGCCAGCGACGGGCUGCGGUUCCGCCGGGUCACGCGCGGCGAGCAGCAGGUGGUCUCCGGCAUGAACUACCGCCUCUUCGUCGACGCGGCCGACGGCUCCGGCAGGAGCGCGCCCUACCUCGCCGAGGUCUACGAGCAGUCCUGGACCAAGACCCGCCAGCUCACCUCCUUCAAGCCGGCGGCCAACUGA
rnacentral:rRNA from 1 species